UCGAACGGAUUUUUGUCGUAGCUUGCUAUGAUAAAAAUUAGUGGCAGACGGGUGAGUAAUGCAUAGGAAUCUACCUAGUAGUAUGGGAUAGCCACUAGAAAUGGUGGGUAAUACUGUAUAAUCCCUGCGGGGGAAAGAUUUAUCGCUAUUAGAUGAGCCUAUGUUAGAUUAGCUAGUUGGUAGGGUAAAGGCCUACCAAGGCAGUGAUCUAUAGCUGGUCUGAGAGGAUGAUCAGCCACACUGGAACUGAGAUACGGUCCAGACUCCUACGGGAGGCAGCAGUGGGGAAUAUUGGACAAUGGGCGCAAGCCUGAUCCAGCUAUGCCGCGUGAGUGAGGAAGGCCUUAGGGUUGUAAAACUCUUUCAGUGGGGAAGAUAAUGACGGUACCCACAGAAAAAGUCCCGGACAAACUCA
rnacentral:rRNA from 1 species